ACUCAAAGGAAUUGACGGGGGCCCGCACAAGCGGCGGAGCAUGUGGAUUAAUUCGAUGCAACGCGAAGAACCUUACCUGGGUUUGACAUGCACCAGACGCGUUCAGAGAUGGGCGUUCCCUUGUGGUUGGUGUGCAGGUGGUGCAUGGCUGUCGUCAGCUCGUGUCGUGAGAUGUUGGGUUAAGUCCCGCAACGAGCGCAACCCUCGUUCCAUGUUGCCAGCGCGCGGUGUCUAAUAAGCACUGUGGCGGGGACUCAUGGGAGACUGCCGGGGUCAACUCGGAGGAAGGUGGGGAUGACGUCAAGUCAUCAUGCCCCUUAUGUCCAGGGCUUCACACAUGCUACAAUGGCUCAUACAGAGGGCUGCGAGACCGUGAGGUGGAGCGAAUCCCUUAAAGUGGGUCUCAGUUCGGAUCGGGGUCUGCAACUCGACCCCGUGAAGUCGGAGUCGCUAGUAAUCGCAGAUCAGCAACGCUGCGGUGAAUACGUUCCCGGGCCUUGCACACACCGCCCGU
rnacentral:rRNA from 1 species